UACGAAGGGGGCUAGCGUUGUUCGGAGUUACUGGGCGUAAAGGGCGCGUAGGCGGCGCAUCAAGUCAGGCGUGAAAGCCCCGGGCUCAACCUGGGAAUGGCAUUUGAUACUCGAGGGCUUGAGUACGGGAGAGGAGGAGUGGAAUUCCCAGUGUAGAGGUGAAAUUCGUAGAUAUUGGGAAGAACACCGGUGGCGAAGGCGGCUCUCUGGACCGUAACUGACGCUGAGGCGCGAAAGCGUGGGGAGCAAACAGG
rnacentral:rRNA from 1 species